AUCAAGAAGGGGCGUGGUCAGGGAGAGCAAUCACUUUCCUCCCGCCCUCGGGGCUUUCCUGGCUGAUUUCUUGAGCAAGCGGACGUAGCUGAAGGCUAAUAAUAAUUUAACAAGUAGCUGUCGCUAGAUGACAGUAGAAUUCAAGAGUUUUAGAUAUGCUGUCUGCCAUCUAACACUUAUCCUAAGUAUUUAAUAUAGCUCUCCUGGAAUUAGAGAGCAAUAUUUUCCUUCCUUCCUUCCCUUCCCUUUUUAUAUAUAACUUAACAUGCCUCCUAUUUUCCCCACAAUAACCCUAGGUGAGAAGGGAUAGACUUCAAGUUACCGACCUGGGUCUCUAAGAUUACUUUCCAAAUAUGGGUAAAUCACCCAAAAUUAGGAAAAAAGUAUUCUUUUUCCUUUAGGUAAAGACACACAAACCAAUUACCCAAUCAAUAGAGACAUUUAAAUAAGGACUUCCUUGAUAUUGAAAAGACUUUAUGAUAAGCAGUUCUGAGUAAUGAAGGAAAACGUUUGGGAAGCACUGUCUAAGAGGUGUACUGUGUAGCUGAGCUUGGCCGAUCUUGAAAAAGCUACACAGAUAAAACCUGAAUAAGAAAACCCUUAAGAUAUCCUAAUAUUGUAAUCCAAAUUUGAAACUUGAAAAAACAUCUGGAGAUCAGGAGGUGGGACUGAGCCCAUACUUUGGUUAACCUGUGACUGAAGCAUACUCCAUCUGCAAGAACUUUGUGUUGGCUGAGGGUGACCAGGCCCAUUCUGGACAAUGCAAAUUUGGGAAAGAUUUUAGGAACUUCCAGAGAGGACAUUUAUUCAUCACUGUGUCAAACAUAAAGUUUUACAAGAGAUUUGGACUCAUUGCCCCAUUUCAGUAAUAAUCAUGAUAAUAACAGUAACUUAAAGAAACUGGACAGUGUCAGCAUUAAGAGUUAUCCAUGAAACAUGAUUUGCAAGCAGCAGAUAUUGUCAUUUCCAAAUGUCUUUGGAUGGAAAAACUGUAACUGCAUAACAAAUGCCUCGUCUAGAAACAUUAUAAAGCGACUUUCUAAGAAUAUAGAUACAGGUACUUAAAGUUUUCAAAAAGUGAAUUGUUUUACAUCUGUUGGUCAUAAUUUUGAUCCAACACCUAGCCAAAACCAGGAGCUUAAUGCUAGGUGUGAGUUCAGUUGUUCCUCAUGUAUUUUAAUUAUGACAAGAGAUUCUUGCAGAAAACAAAUACAUUUAUUGAAGUGUAUUAUGGAUUGCAUUGUACUAAAUACAGUAUCUGGAGACUAGUUUUUCAUUCUUAAAAAACAAAUAUUUUCUACCUAAUGUGAUUGCAGAUCUGAUUGAAAACAUUUUGUAUAUAUAUAAUUUAGAGAAUACUGUACAAUGUUAGAGGAAGAUAAUUUUAAUUUCCCUACGUAGGAUUGUUUGUUUGUUUAUAUGGUAACAUGAGUGCCACCCUGUGGCAUAUAAAAAGAAAACAAUUGAGAAAAUGUUUAUCUUUGUAAAUUCUUGGAUAUAUGACACCAUGUGCUAUAGAUCCUAAAGUUGGUACAAUUUACUUUUGAAUUUUUCUUCAAGCAAGUUAGAAUAUUUUUCUGCGUUUUUCAUUAUAAUACCUCUAUUAGCUUUUGAUAUCAUAUAUUGAAAUACUAAAUAAAAGGAAAUGGAAUGGCAAAACCUAUAUAAAGUGAUAAAAACAUAUACAUUAAAUAAAUUUAACAAAGGUAACCUCUGGCUUCCUUUUAACACAGAGAUAUUAGCAAUACAACCACCUCUCUGUAAGUUUUGUUCUUUCUUUUUCAUAAAAGAAAAUUGCUUUUAGAUGUUCUGUUAAAUAUUUUAGUAAAUAUUCAGUUAUAACAAUGAGUAUUAAAAAAAUGUAUAUUCAAUUCAUAUGAAAAAAAUUGUUGCAUUGUUCGGUGGAAUUUCUGUAGAUAAAAUUGUAUCUCUUAAGUGUCUGUGGAAAAAGUAUAAUUAGUAAUAAUGUUUGCAUGAUGCUUGUUCAUUUUUAAUUCGGCAGUUGUUUAGACAAACAAGCCUUUAAAGAGUAGACUGGCUUCCUGCUUCAGCUGUGAAAUUUACAAGGAUUUCUGCAGAUCAGUCUGAAAUUUGAAAAGGCUUCCAUGCCCUUUAGAACUUGCAUAUUUUCUUUCUUGUGGCUUACUGUAUCCUGAUCCUAAAGAAGAGAGGGAAAAUUAUUUUUCUGUUGAACUUGUAUUCUCUGUGAGGGGAUGAUAAAGCCUGUACCAAAUUUAGAUAAGGUGUCCUUCGUUCUUUCUUUUUUUUCCUAUUUUUUCCUCUAUGCAAGGAGACUUUGGGGGAAAGUAUAAAUUAUUCUUGCUAAAGGUUUGAAACAAACACUACCAGACAAUUUUCCCAUCUCAUCCAUCAUUCUGCCUCUUUUAGGUCCCCACCCCAUCUCUCUCUCUCUCUCUCUCUCUCUCUCCCUCCUCUGCUUCCAUCUCUCCAGCCAACCCCCAGUAAACAAAGUCAGUUUCCUACUCCAUUUCAGCUAUAACUGCUAAUGAUUGUAAUACUGUGACUUUUCUUUCUAGCUUAUUGAAUUAUCAAAAUCAUAGCCAUUGAACAUGGAGAGACAAUGUAUGCGCUUCAGGUAUUAUUAGAUUGCAACUCUUAGAGUUCUCAUCACUAACGGUUAGAUAGGACUGAUUGGGGCUUGGAAGGGAACUCUAACAUAAGGAUCUUGCUGUACAACUCAAAAUUUAUUUAUUCAUUUAAAACAUUUAUAAUAUAGCCAUCCAUCUUAUAACAAAUUCUGGGCAGCUCCCAAUUAAAAAUUAAAACAACACAAAAAACAUAUUAAAACUGUUAAAAUCAAGUGCAUAAAAAAAAAAAAAGCCUGGUGCAAGUCAAGCUUCCGCUGUGCAAUCACCUCGUUUUAUCAGAGUGCCUUGGGGGGAAAGUCAGGUCUUCAGUACUUUAUGGAAAUUGAGGAAGGGGAUAGGCCUGCCAAAUUUUAGGGGGGUGUUUAGAAGGGUUUUCCAUGGGGCAGGUGCUGCCAUGGAAAAGGCACGCCUCCCAGCUCCCAUAUGAUAAGGUUGAAAGGA